rnacentral:rRNA from 1 species
GAUGAACGCUGGCGGCGUGCCUAAUACAUGCAAGUCGAGCGAACAGAUGAGGAGCUUGCUCCUCUGACGUUAGCGGCGGACGGGUGAGUAACACGUGGAUAACCUACCUAUAAGACUGGGAUAACUUCGGGAAACCGGAGCUAAUACCGGAUAAUAUAUUGAACCGCAUGGUUCAAUAGUGAAAGACGGUUUUGCUGUCACUUAUAGAUGGAUCCGCGCCGCAUUAGCUAGUUGGUAAGGUAACGGCUUACCAAGGCAACGAUGCGUAGCCGACCUGAGAGGGUGAUCGGCCACACUGGAACUUAGACACGGUCCAGACUCCUACGGGAGGCAGCAGUAGGGAAUUUUCCGCAAUGGGCGAAAGCCUGACGGAGCAACGCCGCGUGAGUGAUGAAGGUCUUCGGAUCGUAAAACUCUGUUAUUAGGGAAGAACAAAUGUGUAAGUAACUAUGCACGUCUUGACGGUACCUAAUCAGAAAGCCACGGCUAACUACGUG